AUUGAACGCUGGCGGCAUGCCUUACACAUGCAAGUCGAACGGUAACGGGCCUUCGGGUGCCGACGAGUGGCGCACGGGUGUGUAAUACAUCGGAACGUGCCCGAUCGUGGGGGAUAACGAGGCGAAAGCUUUGCUAAUACCGCAUACGAUCUACGGAUGAAAGCAGGGGACCGCAAGGCCUUGCGCGGACGGAGCGGCCGAUGGCCGAUUAGGUAGUUGGUGGGAUAAAAGCUUACCAAGCCGACGAUCUGUAGCUGGUCUGAGAGGAUGAUCAGCCACACUGGGACUGAGACACGGCCCAGACUCCUACGAGAGGCAGCAGUGGGGAAUUUUGGACAAUGGGCGCAAGCCUGAUCCAGCCAUGCCGCGUGCAGGAUGAAGGCCUUCGGGUUGUAAACUGCUUUUGUACGGAACGAAAAGCCUUCUUUUAAUACAGGAGGGUCAUGACGGUACCGUAAGAAUAAGCACCGGCUAACUACGUG
rnacentral:rRNA from 1 species